GGGGGCGUAGCUCAGCUGGGAGAGCGUUCGGUUCGCAUCCGAAAGGUCGAGGGUUCGAGUCCCUUCGUCUCCACCA
rnacentral:tRNA from 1 species